UGCACUGGUUUUGGGACCUUCUGAGGUUGU
rnacentral:piRNA from 1 species